rnacentral:rRNA from 1 species
GAUGAACGCUGGCGGCGUGCCUAAUACAUGCAAGUCGAGCGAACAGAUGAGGAGCUUGCUCCUCUGACGUUAGCGGCGGACGGGUGAGUAACACGUGGAUAACCUACCUAUAAGACUGGGAUAACUUCGGGAAACCGGAGCUAAUACCGGAUAAUAUAUUGAACCGCAUGGUUCAAUAGUGAAAGACGGUUUUGCUGUCACUUAUAGAUGGAUCCGCGCCGCAUUAGCUAGUUGGUAAGGUAACGGCUUACCAAGGCAACGAUGCGUAGCCGACCUGAGAGGGGGAUCGGCCACACUGGAACUGAGACACGGUCCAGACUCCUACGAGACGCAGCAGUAGGGAAUCUUACGCAGUGGUCGAAAGCCUGACGGAGCAGCGCCGAGUGAGUUAUGAAGGUCUUCGGAUCGUAAAACUCUGUUAUUAGGGAAGAACAAAUGUGUAAGUAACUAUGCACGUCUUGACGGUACCUAAUCAGAAAGCCACGGCUAACUACGUG